rnacentral:rRNA from 1 species
CCCAGACUCCUACGGGAGGCAGCAGUGGGGAAUAUUGGACAAUGGGGGGAACCCUGAUCCAGCGACGCCGCGUGAGUGAAGAAGUAUUUCGGUAUGUAAAGCUCUAUCAGCAGGGAAGAAAGAAAUGACGGUACCUGACUAAGAAGCCCCGGCUAACUACGUGCCAGCAGCCGCGGUAAUACGUAGGGGGCAAGCGUUAUCCGGAUUUACUGGGUGUAAAGGGGGCGCAGACGGCAGCGCAAGCCAGGAGUGAAAGCCCGGGGCCCAACCCCGGGACUGCUCUUGGAACUGCGCGGCUGGAGUGCAGGAGGGGCAGGCGGAAUUCCUGGUGUAGCGGUGAAAUGCGUAGAUAUCAGGAGGAACACCGGUGGCGAAGGCGGCCUGCUGGACUGCGACUGACGUUGAGGCCCGAAAGCGUGGGGAGCAAACAGGAUUAGAUACCCCAGUAA